UGAACCUGCGGAGGGAUCAUUACCGAGUUUACAACUCCCAAACCCAAUGUGAACGUUACCAAACUGUUGCCUCGGCGGGAUCUCUGCCCCGGGUGCGUCGCAGCCCCGGACCAAGGCGCCCGCCGGAGGACCAACCAAAACUCUUAUUGUAUACCCCCUCGCGGGUUUUUUUUAUAAUCUGAGCCUUCUCGGCGCCUCUCGUAGGCGUUUCGAAAAUGAAUCAAAACUUUCAACAACGGAUCUCUUGGUUCUGGCAUCGAUGAAGAACGCAGCGAAAUGCGAUAAGUAAUGUGAAUUGCAGAAUUCAGUGAAUCAUCGAAUCUUUGAACGCACAUUGCGCCCGCCAGUAUUCUGGCGGGCAUGCCUGUCCGAGCGUCAUUUCAACCCUCGAACCCCUCCGGGGGGUCGGCGUUGGGGAUCGGCCCUGCCUUGGCGGUGGCCGUCUCCGAAAUACAGUGGCGGUCUCGCCGCAGCCUCUCCUGCGCAGUAGUUUGCACACUCGCAUCGGGAGCGCGGCGCGUCCACAGCCGUUAAACACCCAACUUCUGAAAUGUUGACCUCGGAUCAGGUAGGAAUACCCGCUGAACUUAAGCAUAUCAAUAAGCGGAAGAA
rnacentral:rRNA from 1 species